rnacentral:rRNA from 1 species
UACAGAGGUGGCAAGCGUUGUUCGGAAUUACUGGGCGUAAAGCGCGUGUAGGCGGCGGGAUAAGUCGCAUGUGAAAGCCCUCGGCUCAACCGAGGAAGUGCAUGCGAUACUGUUUCGCUUGAAUGCCGGAGGGGAUGGCGGAAUUCCCGGUGUAGAGGUGAAAUUCGUAGAUAUCGGGAGGAACACCUGUGGCGAAGGCGGCCAUCUGGACGGCGAUUGACGCUGAGACGCGAAAGCGUGGGUAGCAAACAGG